CCUACGGGUGGCAGCAGUGAGGAAUAUUGGUCAAUGGGCGCGAGCCUGAACCAGCCAAGUAGCGUGAAGGAUGACGGCCCUAUGGAUUGUAAACCUCUUUUAUCGGGGAGUAAAAUACGCCACGUGUGGUGUUUUGUGUGUACCCCAUGAAUAAGCAUCGGCUAACUCCGUGCCAGCAGCCGCGGUAAUACGGAGGAUGCGAGCGUUAUCCGGAUUUAUUGGGUUUAAAGGGAGCGUAGGCGGAUUGUUAAGUCAGUUGUGAAAGUUUGCGGCUCAACCGUAAAACUGCAGUUGAAACUGGCAGUCUUGAGUACAGUAGAGGUAGGCGGAAUUCGUGGUGUAGCGGUGAAAUGCUUAGAUAUCACGAAGAACUCCGAUUGCGAAGGCAGCUCACUGGACUGCAACUGACGCUGAUGCUCGAAAGUGUGGGUAUCAAACAGGAUUAGAUACCCGAGUAGUC
rnacentral:rRNA from 1 species